CUACGGGGUGCUCCAGUGGGGAAUAUUGCACAAUGGGCGCAAGCCUGAUGCAGCCAUGCCGCGUGUAUGAAGAAGGCCUUCGGGUUGUAAAGUACUUUCAGCGGGGAGGAAGGGAGUAAAGUUAAUACCUUUGCUCAUUGACGUUACCCGCAGAAGAAGCACCGGCUAACUCCGUGCCAGCAGCCGCGGUAAUACGGAGGGUGCAAGCGUUAAUCGGAAUUACUGGGCGUAAAGCGCACGCAGGCGGUUUGUUAAGUCAGAUGUGAAAUCCCCGGGCUCAACCUGGGAACUGCAUCUGAUACUGGCAAGCGUGAGUCUCGUAGAGGGGGGUAGAAGUCCAGGUGUAGCGGUGAAAUGCGUAGAGAUCUGGAGGAAUACCGGUGGCGAAGGCGGCCCCCUGGACGAAGACUGACGCUCAGGUGCGAAAGCGUGGGGAGCAAACAGGAUUAGAUACCCCUGUAGUC
rnacentral:rRNA from 1 species